UCCCACGUGGUCUAGAGGUUAGGACACCUGGCUCUAACCUAGAAACCCCUGGUUCAAUUCUCGGUGUGGGAA